rnacentral:lncRNA from 1 species
UGCCUUGGAAUUUCUCACGGUGGUCGGCUUCAGCGAAGAUGUUAUAUUUGACAAUCUUGGGAAGGCAGAAGCAUACUUGGUGCUGAAGCGGAAUGAUCCUGGCUUAUUGUGGCUAGCUAAGUCCACCCUUGAAUCAAGCUGAACUUGGUAGCUCCGAAAACAGUUCUGAAAGACAAAGCAAUAUUAUAUGUGGAAGUAUACUGUAUAUAGAUGUCCAUUGUAUGUGUAUGCGCUGAGGAAAGAACAUUUUGUAUUGUCAUUUACGUGCCAAAUAGGUGGUAUUCAACAUAGAAAUAUUUUUGGGGAAGCAAAAGGACUACAUCUGAUGUGGAAAUAUAACAGUUGCUCAUUGUACAAUGCUAGAUGUCAUUCUCUUGUCUUUUGGUGAUUGUGAAUAAACUAGUUAAUAAAUAACACAUGAACUGCUUUAGUGCCUGUUAUGUUAACGGUUGGCAUUUGAGAAAUCACAUUUUUUUACAAGACAGAUUGUGGCAUUUGGCUGCACUUAUCGACGGUGGGAAAGAUCUCUUUGCCAUUGCUCUUCUCCCCUCCCCAUACUCUUGUCCAGGUAGCGCCGGAGAGACACACUACUUUUGAAAUUUCCUUCAUUAAAAGUUCUGCCUGUCACAAGUGGUGCUUCACCAUUGCUGGUGCCUAGAUAUGACAAUCAAACUUGAACAUGCAGUAACUCUAAGCCUGAUCCCGACUCUGAUGGAAAAUUUCGUAUCAUAUAAAAAUAUAAAAACAAAAAGGUGUUGGGCCUAAAGGAGAUUUUAUAAAAAAAAAAAGGACAAAAGUAAUAUAUUUUAGCAUAUGCGCCUAUUUAUUUUAGCAUGCGCCUAUGUCAUAACCAUAAAACUAUAUUUUUAGAAGAAAACCAAAUUAAAAACACCAAUAAAAUAACAUUUAUAAAUGAGUUAGCCUCCCUAGUCCUUAAAUAUUGUAUGUGUCGUAUCAUAUUCUCUUUUGGGUGCAGUUUUCAUUGAUCACCCAAAUUGUAUGAGUUCUUGUAUUUUUCAGUUUAUUAUAUAAAUUAUAAAAUAAAGCUAUGUCGAUCUCGCUACGAGCAGAGUCUAGUGGCGGUAUCGCUUAGAAUAACCGAGUUGGAGACAUGAGUUAGGUAGAGGAGAUUCAAGGAUUUAUGUGUAAUUUAUCUUUUCGAUGUAUAAAAAAAAGAGUGUAACGGCGGUGCGAGAGGAGAACACAAGUUCUUACACCACUCAGCUCAGCUCAAACUAAAUUCCCUUUUCCCUUCCAAUUCCUCAAUCGGAAUCCAAACCAAAAUGCGGUUCAUCGACCACGGCAUGGACCUCGACCUGGACCUGGACCUUGACCUCUCUGAUUUCGGUUCGUCGGUGCCGCUCAAGAAGGUCCCUAACGGCGACAUCUUCUCCGCGUCCCGUGCGGGUGACGUGGACCGCCUCCGGUACCUUCUCGAGUCCGGCGUCGACGUCAACGCCCGCGACCAGUGGGACUCCGUCGCCCUCUACUACGCUUGCCUCGCCGGCCACCUCGACGCCGCCCGCAUGCUCCUCGAGAGCGGCGCCAUCUGCUCCGAACACACUUUCGACGGUGACCGUUGCCACUACGCCGCUCUCAACUUGAAGGUCCGUAAACUCCUCAAGGCCUUUGAAGCUCGCCCUCCUCCCUUGGACCCCUUGCCCUCCUCCUUGCGUCUCACCUUCUUGUCCUGCCCCGCUAACUCCUCUGCCUCUCCAUUUCCCAGUAUGAUCCUAACUCUUUCGGUUAGUUAGUUAGUUAUUACUGUUGAGUUUUCAGUUAUGACAGUUAUGAUUUCGUUACAUUCUGUUUUUCAGUUUUGUUUAUCGCAGUUUAGUUUCUGUUAGUUAGUUAGUUAAAUUACAUUCUGCUUUUCAGUUUUGUUUAUCUUUUUCAUUGUUAAACCAUUCAUGUGAUUAAGUUUUCAGGAUAGUAAGUGUCUGUUUGGUUUUCAGUUAGGAAGUCUGUUUGAAGCAUUGGAAUUCGAAAUCGCGAUUUCCAAUGCACAUUCAACCAACGGAAUGCACUUGUUGGGUUGAGUGAAUGUGCUUUCACAUUCACCCAAUUGAAAACCAAACAGGCUCUUAGUUCAUGAUAUGGUAUCAGUGUCUCCAUGAUUGGCGGUCUGGAGUUCGAUCAUGGCCUAAAUUACUCUUGUAAAUAGUUAAAUUUCAGAUGGGCAUUGUCCUUUCUAGAGCCAAUUUGGCAUUUAGUGACGAAGCUUGUACUAGGGCUUCCAUACGUACUAAGACCAAUGGGAUCUUGUGAGAAGCGUGUUAGAAAUAUAAUAUGAAAUCGUUCACGUGUAGACCCAAGGGAUUGAGCUUUCAGGAUAGUUAGUUCAUGAUAUGGUAUGGUAUCAGAGUUUCCAUGACUGGUAGUCUAGAGUUCGAUCAUUGCCUUGAUUAGUCUUGUAAAUAGUUAAAUUUUUAGCACGAGUAGGUGAGGGCGUGCAUUGUCCUUGCAAGAGCCAAUUUGGCAUCUAGUGACGAAGCUUGUACUAAGGCUUCCAAACAUACUAAGAGAAUCUCCAAUGCUUGGUACCUUUGUUGGUAUCUUAUCACUCUUUUUGUGGGCCUGAAAUGCCACAUAGGAUAUUAGGUACCCAUAAGGCACUGAUGCACAUUUUGCUCCAACGCAAGGAAAUUUAAGAUAUGGGAUCUGAAGAUAAGAUCCAGCCCUAAGGUACUGCAUUGGAGAUGCUCUAAGACCAAUGGAUCUUAUGUGAGGGGUGUGUUAAAACUAUAAUAUAAAAUCAUUCACAUGUCUUUAAGCUAUUGGUUCGUCACAUAUAUUGUAUAUAAGACAAAGUAAAUGAAUGAAACAUAAUUUCAUUUUCUCCCAAUGAUAAUAAUAAUUGAAUUGAGUAUUAUAUUUACAGGUAUUUCAUCCACUCAAGGGUCAAGUGGCUGCAGCCACUUUCCUCCUGAUGUGGUUUUCACCGUGCAAGGAGAACCUAUUGAAGCUCACAGAGUCAUAUUAAGUGCAAGGUCACCAUAUUUCAAGAAAAAGUUCGAGACUGAUUGGAAAGAGCGCAGCGAGGUUAGAUUCUCGCGGGAGAAGUUGUCAUAUCCCGCGCUUUAUAGCCUCGUACACUUCUUCUAUUCAGACAGGUUGGAGAUUGCUGUGGAUGACAUGGAAGAUCUUGUGAGAAUAUGCAAAGUGUGCAAAUGCGAAUCACUAAGGAGUGUUCUUGAGAAAGAAAUAGUUCAUCAAAAGUAUGCGGAUUAUAAAGCUCUGCGAGAUGUGGACAAUUCUCAGAAACGGUAUAUUUUGCAGGGCCUGUCCCUUCCUGAAGAAGACAGGCUUCCUNNNNNNNNNNNNNNNNNNNNNNNNNNNNNNNNNNNNNNNNNNNNNNNNNNNNNNNNNNNNNNNNNNNNNNNNNNNNNNNNNNNNNNNNNNNNNNNNNNNNNNNNNNNNNNNNNNNNNNGUCCCUCUCAUAAAGAAGACGGGCUCCUCGCAGCCUUGCGUCGAAUCUUUCUACCCGCCCUUUCAAAUUCCAGCCAUGAAAAUGGUCAAGAUGAUGGAAUUGAUAAUGCGGUAUCUAGGAUGGGUGCCAUGCAGAUGGAUGAUGAUCUUGCUGAUGUUUGUGUGAGAGUCGACAGGAAAAUUUUCCGUUGCCAUAAAGUUAUUCUAGCUUCAAGGUCAGAAUAUUUUAAAGCAAGGCUGUCUCGUAUGGAGGAUUUCCAUGAAGGGAAAGAUGCCUUAUCUGUUGACUUCCUUCCUUGUAUUGAGGAACAUGACUUGAGCACGGAAGCAUUUGAGAAAAUGAUUGAAUAUAUGUAAGUCUCUUCUCUUGACGGCGAAAUUUAGAAAUUGAAAAUAUUGCAGGGAUUUUAUAUGACAUUAAUUAACUAGUGAACUUGAGACCAUUUGGCUAAUCAGCAUCUCUGUGUUAUUCUGUAGAUUCUGACAGACCUUAUUUGUAAUGAUUGCAAUGAAGAUAUUCUUUCUUACCCUUCAGAUAUGUGUUUAUAUUUGGGGGAAAAGCUUUGCCUAUUUACUGUACUAGUAGUUAUACUCGUGCAGUGCAAGGGUGCUUAAGCAUGAUUUGGUGAUUCUUUUUUAGUAUUAAUGAUUGUCUAUGUCAGGUUGACGAAACUCAGCUAAUUGUUCCAUGGUAGUAAAAUUCUUUUCAAAUUGAUACAUUCUUGAGUACUUUUCUGUUUGUGUGGUUCCAAUUUGCAAGAUUGAGUAAAACCUAUUUAAAUUGCCUGUUUAUGCAUGAUUGUUUUUGUAGUAGGUGAUUUUUCCUGUUGUUUUAUACUUUUUUGCCCAUUUUUAGUUUCUGUAGCAUGUUCCUGUCAUAAUGCCUUCAGCAUGAUGAAGUUUCUGGGAUAAUAUAAGUGUACCUGUUCAUCAAUUUUCUGCUGCAAAUAUGAUUUUCGUGAAUUUUAUUCUGCCUCCUUUGUUGGUUCAGGUACACCGAUGCUUUACAGGAUAUAAAUCCAGAUCAGGUUUUUUAUAUCUCUAUAUAGAUUUCUGUAAAAAUGGUUUUCUUUCUGUUGUCAAACAUUUGAUUUAUAUAUUGUUAACAGGCUGAGGAGAUGUUGGAUGUUGCUUCUAGAUACUUACUGUUUCCUCUUAAGCGUGCGGUAGCUGAUGUCUUGUUGCCACACUUGGAAAUGGUGUCGCCUGAGGAGCUUUGCCACUGGUUAAUGCUAGCGGACAUGUAUUUUUCUUUUCUGCUUGUCUCCCUCCUUCAUUUUACAUUGAUGGCUGCAAUUAAUGUUGUUUCUUUCUGUACUCUUGGGGAGGGAUAGGGAACGGAUUCUUCCUUCACAUGUUUAUUUUGUUUUCUUAUUAUGUUUAUAUAGUUGUCUCAAUGCUUUUUAAUACUCAUGCUUUAAUGAUUGUGUUUAAACUUGUAUAGACUACACUAUGUUAGUCGAGCUUACUACUUGAGUAAGUACUUAUUUAAGGUGUUUAUCCAAAGAGGUUACUCGAAUGUCUACUGGUAAUUGAUCUCAAGAAGACUUUAGUAUUUCCUAUUUGAUCUAGAAUUCAGAUGCACAAUUAGUUGGAUGAGAAAUUUAAAAGAGAAGACCAAGGAGGAUGCAAGAAAGAUCAUCAAUAUUCUUUGGAAAUAAUUAAUGCACAAGUUUUAGGAAGAAUAUCACUCUUCCAAAAGAACUGAAUAGUUAUAGAGGAUUUUUUUGGCUUACCCUUAAUUCUCUCAUCACUGCUCAAAUUGACAUUAACAAAGUGUUGGACAAGGCGAUAAUGUUUUUGUUCAAUGAUUCCCAACUCCUACCUGCAAAGUAUUGUAGAUCCUGUUGUGGUGAAUUACAUAUGUUCCUUAUUUUCCGGCAUGAUGAUUGGUCUUUGUUCUCAUUAGUUCAUCUAAUAUGGUACCAGAUUAUAUUCUUGUUUUAUCUGUAUUUCUAUUUAAAAUUUGUUCAUAUCCAGGUAUGGUGUUUUCAAGAUUCGGGAAUAUUGUUUAGACACCGUUGCUUGUAAUUUUGAAACAUUUGCUGAUACUAAAGAAUUCCGGGCAAUGCUGUUGACUCUGCCUCCACCAUCAGGCGACUCAUCUCUUCGUACCACUGUUCCAAGCAUUCCUGGAUCUGCUCUAAAUACUGAUCAAGGAAAUCUUCUUGAUGAUUUACGUGAGAAAUGGCUUGAAAUUGAAGCUGCUGAGCUUGACAAGAGAGAUGAGAGUGCUUUGCAAUUUGACAAGCGCCUAGAAAUGCUUAUGCUUGUUGCAGAGCAAGAAAAAUCAUCAGAGAAUGCUGAUCCAGAUGGUAUUAAUAACUCACAACCUUGGCUAUCUCCUCAAUCACCACUCUAAUUUCAGGUGAACAAAAAGAAUUGUAGAUUUCUGAUCAUUUUUUCUUUACUGAUAAAUUAAAAAAAAAAGAUAUUAUUGUAUAGAUUUUGUAUGUCAUCAUGGUUGUAAUUUAUAGGUAGCUGAAUGCUGAGUUAGGUUGCUUGGAGUGCUUAAGUUGGGUUUUUGUAACUUUAGUUACUCGAGCAUUCAUUGAUUCUUAAAUUUCUUUUCAAUAAUUUCUACAUAAUCUUGACAUUGUGAUUACUACCUGAAUGUGGGCUUGACAACUCAAGCCCAUGAGAAGAGCAAAGUUGAAAUAUCUAUAAAAUAUCUUAGAAUAUUAUUUCUGUAUCUUAGAAUAUUUAGAUUAUCUUUAAUGAUCUCUUAGGAGUGGUUUCCAUAUAUCAUUAUGCUUCCUGAUUAGUUUACUUAUUUGAUUAUGAUAAGGCUUAGGAUUCCAAAAAUUAAUAUAAUGUUUUAUACUUUUUACCGCAUUAUAUCACAUCUAGCCACAGCACUAUACAUAAGAGAAUGUUAUUUAGUGUCUUUAUUCUCUCUUUUUGUCCUCCUAAUAAUUUCGACAUGGUAUUAGAGGUAUCAUCUUCCAUGACCUGUUUUUUAACUAUUCAAGUUGUUCAGAUCCAUAAAAGCUCGAGCUUCACUUUAUCAAUAUUAUAUUCUAUUAUUGUCUUGAAGUUUGUUAUCUCUUUAUUCAUUCCCUACCUAAAUUCCUAUAACUAUAAGUUCAACAUAGUAUCAAAGCAAUACUAUCCACUGUGACUUGUCCCCUAUCAGCUGUUCAGGUCCAUAGAAUCUAGAAUUCUACCAUAGUCCAUAACAAUGUUUCUAUUUACGUGAGUAAAUUCCAAUUGCUGAAACCCUGUGCUAAUGUCACAUUCUCUCUCCUCUUGUUUCUCAUUUUCCUAUUACUGGGUGUUGUCUACCCACGUCUACACGUUGUUUCACCUCAUAGCCACCCCCAUUAAUAUUGGAUACUGACAUCAUAAUAUUGAUAACUUAAUAUCGUUAAUUACAAUUGCAUAAUAUGACGAAAAAUUGAGUGAAUAGUGAAUGAAAGAUAGUGAGUGAAAAUAUGAAUUGUGGAGUUGUCAAAAGAAUACUGAGAAUUUGCUUCCGUGAUAGAAGUGUAGAUAUUCAAAAAGCUAAAAUAUCAUUUCUUAAAAUUUACAUCUUUUAUUUUAAUUGUUUUCAAUGAAUAAAACCUCUCAUUUUUCUUUUUUAAAAAAGAAGCGGAACAAACAAAUUAUAUUUUAAAAGAGAACUUGCUGAAUGGCAAUCCGGGUUGAAAGUUGAAAAUUAGUACCCAUGAUCAUGUGGACUGGUUAGGAAUGACUAGUAUCAGUUUAUUCCUUGCCUACCUCUCACUUCAUAAUUGAGUUUAUUACAAAAAUAUAUAGAAGACCAAACAAGAAAAGCUGAUUUCCCAACCUAUAUGGUUGACGUAAUGGUUCAGUAUUCCAUCAUUUAAGGGGCUUUGAUUCCAAACUCUUGUGAAUGGAAAAACUCAUUGGUCAGCCCCUACCACUUAGUGCGCUGACCGUGAGAGAAAGAUUAACCUCACAGCCACCAGCUGUGGGGAUACCUUAGUCAAGACAAAAAAAUAUAUAUAAUAUAUUUUUUGAGAUUUUAAAAAUAAAAUUGUCUAGUAAGAAUUUUCCUUAAGGAAACAGUCCUUGUUGGGCUAAUUGAUAUGUCAGAAAUCAUAUAUAACAAAGUAAAAGAAAAAAAAAGAUAGUUAGAGAUAAUUCAAAUGAAGGGUAACAACGGAUAUGAUCUAAUGUCCAAUGUUUACUGUUUCUUUCAAAAUAAGGGAAGAGGCAAUGUCUUUGAAAGGUGAAAUUAUGAUUCAACUCAAAUGAAAAAGGUUAGAUGAAGAAAUACAAACUCAUAUCAUCAUACCAAUAUUGACAAGCUAGCAUAAAUAUGUACAUGAAAGCAUCAGACACAAUAGACAGCUCAAACAGAAGGACUAGAUCUGAGAACCCUCUCAAGCUUCUCAGCUUUAGUGUAAUCCUUAUCAGUAAGAGGUCCAGCAGGAAAAGGUGUGAUUUCCACAGUGAGAUGAGGAGUUGGGAGCUCAUCGAAAAGAGCUCUCACGUUAUUGCAACACACACUUUCUCCAUGAGCACUUUCCCUCCGGAUUUGGCAACCCUACAAUGGAUACUUAGCAGCAUAAAUGUCAACCAUUUCUUGCAUCAAACUAAAUCAAAUCAUGGGGAAAAAAAGAAUAAAAGAAAAUAUCAUCAAAUCAUGGAGAAAAAAGACUAAAGUGGUCUCAAAUUAUGGGGAAAGAGCAUAAAUUAAAGCUCCAGCUAUGUGCAGGGUCCGGGGAAGGGGUCCAACCACUUGAUCUAUUGUACACAGCCAUAUCCUGUUUUUAACAUAACAGGUUGUUUCCAAAACUUGAACCCCAUGACCUCAGUCACAUAGAAACAACUUUUACCGUUGCGCCAAGGCUCCCCUGGAAAAGAGCAUAAAUGAAAUAAAAAAACAGAUAUUUGAAAGGAAAAACGCAAACCUUGUGAGAGGUAGCAUCAACAAAGUGGUCAUCAUCUGACAGUAGAGAUGCAAUGGCUUUAAGAAGACGUCGCCCCUCAGACUUGGAUCGGACUCUGUAGUUCCUUCUAAGUGUACCCUUUGUUGUAGGAUGCCAUUUGCUCACAAAUUUACCUCCAUUAGCUACCUCCUUUGCUGCCCAAGUAAAACAAACAGAAAUAAACAAUAGACAUUGUAACAAACAAAACACAUUGACAUUACCUUCAUAUUUUAGGGUAUCUUAGAUGGCACAUUAGUUUCUAUAUCUCCCAAUACCUCAUGUUUUGUCACUGUAUUUAAUCAAGAGGCUAGUACAAGUAUCAAUGAUUUUAUCCUGUCUUUUAGUGUAAAAGGAACAAAUGUUCAGAAUUUAUUAAAAAUCUUCAAAUUUUCCAUUGCCUCUUAACAGCCUUUGAAAUCAAUCCAAUCUAAGCAGAAAAACUAUUUAUGGCAGUGCAGCCAACACAGAAACCUUGCCCUUCCUCUUAAAAAGCCUUCAUCACUAAUUUGAAGGUUGCCACAGAUCUGGACAAUGGAGGUUUACCUCUUAGCAUCUUCUCCUAUACUCCCACCCUUAUCUCCACCAAGCUUGGCAGCGAAUCAAUUCAUAACACUAAGUCAGCCCCAUCUAAAUUAAAAGAAGAACUCUGUUGAAUUUCCAUACUUGAUGCAAAUCUAUUCCUUGGCAAACUCCCAUACUUUUUAACUUACUCCUAUCUCCAACUUCAAAAUAAUAGGCAGGAGUUUCCAAUAUAGGCUACAGUCAAUUAUUGCACCAAAUCAGCAGCUUCAGAGUUGCUUGAAGCCCCACAAUCAAGCAAUACCACUGAUAGUCAUUUUCCAUUGCACCCCACAAUUUAAGGAUCUUCUAACUUUCAGUUUGCCAGGAACCAUAUAUUAAACACCUGAAACUGAUAGUCUUUAUUUAUCGAAUCAAGCCAGAUUAAUGACUACUACAGCCAAGAAAUCAUUGCAGGCAACCAAGCAUCUCUACCUAAACCACAUACCUGACUCCUCGCUCCCCCACACUCUCUCGCGCCUAAAACCUCCCGGAAUUUACGCCACUACCAACUAGCUCUUCCAACCCAUGCAGAUUAUGCACUGACUCGAGCAAAUAAAGUUUUAAUCUUGUCAGAUUAUAUCUGAUUUGAGUAUCUUCAAGAAGGGAUCACAGACCAUGCCAUCCACCAUUACCACUCACUCAGAUGACCAACAAAUAUGUAUAUAUAGCAUAUUCCAGCUCCACUGCGAAGCAUAAUUGACCGACUGAAGAAGCAUUAUGGAGCAAAUUUAAUUUGUAGCAUACGAGGGGAAUAGACUAAUGGAUACAGAAACAGACAAAAACACAUACUUUACUAAACAAGUUAGAAGAAAAACAUAAUUGGCAAACCUGGUUUUCCUAGUAUGGCCUGGGUCCAUUUAGAGAAGCCCAAGUCAGCAGAUUCAGCUAUGCCACCAUCACCAACUUCCAAAUCUGAAGCAAAGCACUAACUUGAAAAAAUGCAAACUAAAAUAAAUCUUCAUUACAUUUACACAACACAAAGCAAGAGUGGAAAUGCAAACUAACCUGAGACAAGUGGGUUAGCUGGAGAUCCAGCCAAGCCAGCUUUGAGGAGAGCAUAGAAGAUGCAGAGCCUGCCAGCCCAGAGAACAGGAGCUUCAAGCAAAGAGGCACGGGUGCGUGUUGUGCGCAGUGAAGUUGUACUACUGGUAAAGGUUGGUGGUGGUGUGGUUCUGAAAGGAGGGAAAAGGGUUCUGGGGAAGAUCGUUGAGGUUGAAGAAGAAUCGAAGUUGAAAAGGGUGGUGGUGGUGGUGGAUUGGUGAACGCAACAAGUGAAUUGAACUAGAGAAAAUAGAGGCAUUUCUUGUGGAGACGGUGACAACAACAACGGUGGAUUGGCUUGGCUUGUAUUGUGGGAAAGAUGACAUGACAGAGCACUUCUUUCUUAUCUUGUAGAUACUAGAAUACUUACUUAUAAUAUUUAUUUUAUUAUUUAUUUAUCAUAAAUAAUUUCAUUUCCAUUAAAAGUUACAUAUCAUUUUCAUUUAUAUAUUUUUUUAGGUCAAAGGUUGAUCAUUUGCAAAUGGGCAUAGCUCAAUACAUACAAACAAUAAGAAAAAAGGAAUAGAAUAAAAAAAAAGGCAUGCCAACAAGACACAAGAUAUGCAUGUCAAGAACAUUUUCACGCGAACGGAUGACUCAUUUAAACAAAAAGAGUUAAAAAAAUGAUUAAACACUUGAAUGGCUGGCCCAUUUAAAGUGGAUUUAAAAUUGAAACUCUAAAACCUAACUACUCAUCAUCAUGUUGCCUUGAAGCGCCGCACAACACCUCUCUGCCUUCAACCUUUUCCUUUUCGUCUAGCUUGCUACAGAUAGUUUUUGCAGACCAUUUCUAUGGCGUCUACAAACAUCCUUGUCCUCUGCUUUCAUGGUUCCAUAUUCAAAACACUAAUAUAUCGCUGAUAUAGGCAAAAUUACAGAAAAGGCCAAGGUACUCUACCCACAUUUGAUACAUCAGAGAAGGUUUUUUUUCUUCCCAAAACUUGGGCAAUGGCCCAGGCUAGUCAGGCGGUGAAUCUGCCCCUGACCAUACUAUUAGCCUUUUUUCAAUCCCAAUAAACAAUAACCAUAGGUUAAAGUGCUCAACAACAAACUAUAAUCAUUACGAACUACCAAAAUUUAAAUCAAAUAUAACACACAACAAAAGUUUAAAUCUAACAACACAACAAGCGUCAUAAGAAAUAAUCAUGAUUAAGAGGAAAAUUAUAUCCAUCAAACGGUGAUGUGCUGGCAUUUGCACUACUUCCAACAACAUGAUCAACCCAAAUUCAAAGAUCAAUUGAAUCCAACACAAGGUGCUAUGAAAUGUCAACUUGUGGAAAAUUAAACAAAAUUUCACCUCUUAAAUAAAACAACAAAAAUCAAAACAAAUUUAAUAACAAUAAUUAUUAACAUGAAACUUCUCUUGAUCCACCAAUUAUCAAAAUUCCAUUUUAUUGAUAAAUGUCGGUUUCACGCCCAAUCUGAUUAGUAUCAACUCUAGAAUGUCGAUCUUUCUCAACUACUUAAAAAUCAACA